CCAGGAUCUGAGCCACAGAACAGGGGAAGAAAUCAAUCUGUAUUACUCAGCUAGGGCUGCCAUAUAAAAUAUCAUCGACUGAGUGACUGAAACAACACACAUCUACUUCUCACAACUACGGAGGCCAAAAGCCCACCAUCAAGGUACCGGCAAGUUGGAAUGAAAGAAGAGCAUCAUCAAAGGCCAAACCAAAAACAAAACAAAACGAAUAAGCUUCUAAAGUAGCAGAAUGAGGCUCAUCACGAACAGCUGCAGAAACUCGAAUUGCUGCCAGGGAGUAGAUUGAUGUCUGUCUCCACCAGACCACCGUGAGUUAGCUGCUUUGUUACUCUAUGGGUGUUUAAAACUCAACAUUAUUUUUAGAAUUUUUUUUGAGACAGAGUCUCGCUCUUAU
rnacentral:lncRNA from 1 species